GGCCUCGUAGCUCAGUUGUCUAGAGUGUUGGCUGUACUAAAGCCUUCACAUUGCUGACGUGGGUUCGAAUCCUACCGCGGCCA
rnacentral:tRNA from 1 species